rnacentral:rRNA from 1 species
CCUACGGGAGGCAGCAGUGAGGAAUAUUGGUCAAUGGGCGAGAGCCUGAACCAGCCAAGUCGCGUGAGGGAGUACUGCCCUAUGGGUUGUAAACCUCUUUUGUCGGGGAGCAAAAGCCGGACGUGUCCGGCUGUGAGAGUACCCGAAGAAAAAGCAUCGGCUAACUCCGUGCCAGCAGCCGCGGUAAUACGGAGGAUGCGAGCGUUAUCCGGAUUUAUUGGGUUUAAAGGGUGCGCAGGCGGCUUAUUAAGUUAGUGGUAAAAUCGUGGGGCUCAACCCAAUCCAGCCGUUGAAACUGGGGAUCUAGAGUGUGAGAGAGGUAUGCGGAAUGCGUGGUGUAGCGGUGAAAUGCAUAGAUAUCACGCAGAACCCCGAUUGCGAAGGCAGCAUACCGGUGCACAACUGACGCUCAGGCACGAAAGCGUGGGUAUCGAACAGGAUUAGAUACCCGAGUAGUC